rnacentral:tRNA from 1 species
GGGAGUGGAUCGGGGCUGGUGUCCUGCCUGGUCUUCAAAACCAGCGGGGGUUGUCCCAGUGACGGCCCCGGUGGGUUCGAUUCCCAUGCGCUCCCGCCA